UACUAUCAAUGUCAUUAUGUCCUUGGUAGAUUAUUUCGCGCUGAUACCUGACUCUCACAAGUACGGGAAAGACCUGAUCACAGAAAGGAUCAAAGAAGUCCAAGGAAUGGUGAUAUUAAGUCAUGAGUGCAGUGCAAUUAUCCAACAGAAGGUCAUACCUAGGAAAUUGGGAGAUCCAGGCUCAUUCACUCUACCAUGCUCACUAGGCCCUCUAACAUUCCCAAGAUGCUUAUGCGAUCUAGGUGCUUCGGUCAGUCUGAUGCCUCUCUCAGUUGCCAAGAAACUUGGUUUUGAUAAAUAUAAAACUUGCAACAUUUCGCUAAUUCUGGCGGGCAGAUCCAUCAGGAUACCUCAUGGCCUGUUGGAAGACUUACCUGUCAAGAUAGGUUCUAUAGAAGUACCUACCGACUUUGUGAUGCUGGAUAUGGAGGAAGAGCCGAAAGACCCAUUGAUUUUGGGAAGAUGAUUUUUAGCUAUAGCAGGAGCCAUCAUCGAUGUCAAGAAAGGAAAGAUCGACCUCAACCUCGGGAAAGAUCUUCGGAUGACUGUCGACAUCACCAACAUGAUAAAAAAGCCCACAAUAGAGGAUAAAGUUUUCUGGAUAGAAGAGACGAAAUUGCUAGCUGACGAGCUUUUAGAAGAACUAGCAGAGGAGGACCACUUACAGAGUGCCCUGACCAAAGACAGUAGAGAAAAAGACUUACAUGUGGAAACUUUGGGAUACCAGAAGCUGAUGGAUAUGAGCAGGGAAGUCGAUGACUCAGAAGACUUUGAGGAGUUGAGACCACUCGAUCGCACCAAUGACCCACUCGAUCACCUCACUCGAUCCCAAGGCGAGCUACAUCACUUGAUCGCUUCACUCGAUCACGAUUCCAUCUCCGACGCUGAAUCACCACCUGACGAUUGGUCCGAGCUCAAGGCACCCAAGGUUGACCUGAAACCGCUUCCGAAAGGGCUAAGGUAUGUUUUUCUUGGAAUCAAUUCCACCUAUCCUGUGAUAGUGAAUGAUGAACUAGAUACUGAACAAGUAAAUUUGCUUGUAAUUGAAUUGAAAAAGUAUAGGAAAGCCAUAGGUUAUUCACUAGAUGACAUCAAGGGGAUUUCACCCACUUUGUGCACUCAUAGAAUCCAUCUAGAAAAUGAAUCCUAUUCUAGCAUUGAACCUCAGAGGAGAUUAAAUCCAAACUUGAAAGAAGUAGUAAAAAAGGAGAUACUUAAACUAUUAGAUGCGGGUGUAAUCUAUCCAAUAUCUGAUAGCACUUGGGUAUCUGCAGUUCAUUGUGUUCCUAAAAAGGGAGGUAUGACAGUUAUUAAAAAUUCAAAAGAUGAACUGAUACCCACUAGGACCAUAACAGGACAUAGGAUGUGUAUUGACUAUAGGAAGCUUAAUGCAGCCACUAGGAAAGAUCACUUCCCCUUACCUUUCAUUGACCAAAUGCUAGAAAGAUUAGCCAAUCACCCCUAUUACUGUUUUCUAGAUGGCUAUAGCGGAUUUUUUCAAAUCCCUAUCCACCCAAACGACCAAGAGAAAACUACAUUCACGUGUCCCUAUGGGACUUUUGCUUAUAAACGAAUGCCUUUUGGGCUUUGUAAUGCACCCGCCACUUUUCAGCGCUGCAUGACUUCUAUUUUGUCUGAUUUGAUAGAGGAGAUGGUCGAGGUAUUCAUGGAUGAUUUUUCUGUGUAUAGCUCUUCUUUCUCCUCCUGUUUGCUUAAUCUGUGCAGGGUACUCAAGAGAUGCGAAGAGACAAACCUGGUACUGAACUGGGAAAAAUGUCACUUCAUGGUCAGAGAAGGAAUCGUCUUGGGGCACAAAAUAUCAGAAAAUGGGAUAGAAGUUGAUUGGGCAAAAGUUGAUGUCAUGGUGCAGUUGCAACCACCAAAAACUGUGAAAGACAUCAGAAGUUUUCUCGGACAUGCUGGGUUCUACAGGAGAUUCAUCAAGGAUUUCUCUAAGUUGGCUAGGCCACUCACCAGGCUGCUGUGCAAAGAGGCUGAGUUCACGUUUGAUGAAGAAUGUCUGGUUGCUUUCAAAUCGAUCAAAGAAGCACUGAUCUAUGCCCCAAUAGUCCAAGCACCUAUUUGGGAUCACCCUUUUGAAAUCAUGUGUGAUGCUUCGGAUUACGCUGUGGGAGCGGUUCUAGGACAAAAGAUUGAUAAGAAGUUGCACGUCAUCUACUACGCUAGCAGAACGAUGGAUGAUGCACAUGUAAGGUAUGCCACUACGGAGAAAUAACUAUUGGCCGUGGUCUUUGCAUUCGUAAAGUUUAGGAGCUACCUGGUAGGCUCUAAAGUGACAGUUUACAGUGAUCAUGCUCCUCUAAGGCACAUCUAUGCAAAGAAAGAUACCAAGCCGAGGUUGCUGAGAUGGAUUUUGCUGCUCCAAGAAUUCUAUAUGGAGAUAGUGGAUAAAAAGGGGAUUGGAAAUGGUGUAGCUAAUCACUUAUCGCGAAUGAGAAUUGAAGAUGCAGUCCCUAUUGACGACACCAUGCCUGAGGAACAGCUUAUGGCCAUCCGGGAAGUGAACAAAAAAUUCAAAAGCAGCCAGUUUUGGGAUGAGAUGCUCGCAGUAGAGGAGAAACUUCCGUGGUACGCUGAUUAUGUCAACUACUUGGCAUGUGGUGAAGAGCCUCCGAAUCUGUCAGGGUACGAAAGAAAGAAGUUCUUCAAAGACAUAAAUCGCUUCUACUGGGAUGAGCCAUACCUCUACACUCUCUGCAAAGAUAAAAUCUAUAGGAGGUGUGUCUCAGAAGAUGAAAUAGACGGUAUCUUGCAGCACUGUCAUCGUUCUAGCUAUGGCGGCCAUUUCGCAACGUUCAAGACAGUAUCUAAAAUCCUACAAGCAGGAUUUUGGUGGCCAACCAUGUUCAAAGACGCUCGUCAGAGAAGGGGAAACAUCAGCAGAAGAAAUGAGAUGCCCCAGAACCCGAUUUUAGAGGUUGAGAUUUUCGAUGUAUGGGGAAUUGAUUUCAUGGGUCCGUUUCCGUCCUCGUAUGGAAUAAGUAUAUAUUGGUUGCAGUAGACUAUGUGUCAAAAUGGGUGGAAGCAAUAGCCACUCCUACGAAUGAUGCUAGGGUCGUCCUGAAGUUAUUCAAGAGCAUCAUCUUCCCAAGAUUUGGAGUUCCUAGAAUAGUCAUUAGUGAUGGAGGCACGCACUUUGUCAACAAAGUUUUCGAGAGUCUACUGAGAAAGAAUGGGGUUAAACACAAGGUAGCGACUCCUUACCAUCCACAAACAAGUGGCCAGGUGGAAAUCUCUAAUAGGGAGAUAAAAUCAAUUCUAGAGAAAACUGUCGGGAUCACCAGGAGAGAUUGGUCUGUAAAGCUCGACGAUGCGUUAUGGGCAUACAGAACAGCUUUCAAGACCCCCAUUGGUACAACCCCGUUCAAUCUUCUUUAUGGUAAAUCCUGUCACUUACCUAUUGAACUGGAGUACAAAGCUAUAUGGGCAGUGAAACUUUUAAAUUUCGACAUCAAGACUGCUGAAGAGAAAAGAUUGAUACAGCUGAACGACCUUGAUGAGCUCCGUCUAAAAGCAUAUGAGAGCUCUAAAAUUUACAAGGAAAGGACAAAGUCGUUUCAUGACAAGAAAAUAACUUCAAAAGAUUUUAAAGUUGGUGAUCAAGUCUUGCUAUUCAAUUCUCGCUUGAAGCUUUUUCCUUGAAAACUCAAGUCUAGGUGGUCUGGCCCCUUCAGUGUCACUGCAGUAAGACCAUAUGGAGCUAUCACAUUAUCUGGAAAAAGUGACGACUUCACGGUUAACGGCCAAAGACUAAAGAAAUAUAUGGCAGAGCAAACAAUUCCAGAAGGAACUUCUGUUCCACUGGAAGAGCCGCCCAACGCCCAAUAAGUGUGAGGAGUCAAGCUAGAGACUCUAAACAAGCUCACUUGGGAGGAAAUCCCAUGACUAUCUUUGUAUAUAAUUUUAACUUUCUUAUUGUUUUUUAACUCACUUUGGUGGUGUUUUAAUCUCAGGAAAGUAAGCGACAAAAAUCAACUACAGGGUGAAUAGUGAUUUAAAGUGUGAAUAGUGAUUUACAGGGUGAAUAGUGGAGUCACACGAUCACGAAGUCAAGACGGUUUUCAAACUUUGCGAUCGAGUGGUUUAUUUCCCGGGAAAUAAUAGUUCAAAUUUUUUGAUAACGGAGCUGAACGAAGGAACGAAAACGUGCAGUGACUCGUUCAAGUCCAAGGCGUGAUCGAGUACAUGGAGUGGGCGAAAUCAGGCCAUCACUUUCCAAUGACAAAACCGGUGAAGCCCACCUUGUCCCCCAUGACAAAAAUGUCAACAAAUCAAUAGUCUUCACCACCCACCUCUCAUCACGUUUUUGCUAAGGGAAGAGCUCUCCUCACCUACCUAAGGGGCGUAUCUACCUCCUCCUCUUCCUAUAAAUACCAAGCUCCUCAUCCAAUGUUAAUCACACCUCACAACAACAUCUCCUUCUCUCUCAUACUCGAUCGCAAGCUUCUAUCUCUUUAAGAGCUGCCUUCACUCGAUCACAAGUCUCUCCACCCUUGGAAGCUUACUUCACUAGAUCGCAAGCUCCCGACGCCUCGCCUUCUUUCACUCGAUCACAACCCCGUGAAGCUCAACCGCCUCAAGCAUCUCACUUAGACGAUCUCAAGCCAUCCUCAUCAAGUUCACUCGAUCGCAAGCUCCCGAGACCCUCCUCUUACCUCUUUCACUCGAUCGCAAGCCCGCAACGUCUCCACGUUUGUUUCUCUCCCUCACUUACUCGAUCACAACCACUCCGAGCUCCUGUCCACCUCUUUUACUCGAUCAUAAUAUCAGUGAAGUUCAGGAAGUCACUUCUCUCAUUUCUCCUCAUUAGAUUUGAUAACUAACAUACUAAAGUUUAGUUGUGAGUUUUGAAUCAAUAUCAGGAACAAUGACCUCAUACAGCUAUGAUUCAUCAAUGGAUGCUGAUUUCAACGUUGACGAGGCGGAGUCAUGGUCAACAAGACCAGAGAGAGAAGCGGAGGAAUACUAACGUUUCCGAGAAGAAACAGAACGAGCCGCUGCCAAUGACAGGAGAGGAGAAGAGAUAAACAGAGGGAAGAGGUCAAUAACGGAAAAUUAUGAGCUAAUUGAUGAAGAGAUGGAAGAUGACGCGGAGUACAUUUUGGAGCAGACCCGCAAGACCACCAAGUCCCUAAUGAAAGAAGACAAGCUGACCCUGGGAGACUACUACAAGGCUCUCAAAAGAAAUCUGUUUUGGGGAACAAGAUAUCCUCACCCGGAGACAAUGGUGGAGUUAGGCAUCCUGGAAGACGUUCAGCUCUUGUUCGAGAAAUGCCAGAUGACAACACUCAUGUCUCAUCCCUAUCCUACCUAUGAGGAUGAGACACUUCAAUUCCUUUCAUCACUUCAAGUGGAAUUGUUUGAGGGGUUGUCAGCUGCUGAGUUAAGAGAAGAAGGGCUUGGUUACUUAAGCUUCACCAUCGACGAUCGCGACUAUAUCAUGGCGAUCAAGACGCUAGAAUCCAUGUUCGGGUUUCCCAGUGGCACGGGAAGUAACCCGAGGUUUGCCCGAGAAGAAUUAAAAUCUUUGUGGAACACUAUCGGAGACACCACCAGCUUCAACUCCGCUAGAUCCAAGAGCAACUCCAUCCGCAAUCCCGCCAUUCGCUAUUUCCAGAGAGCCAUGGCCAAUUUCCCUUACGCUAGGGAAAUAUCCGCCACUGUGACGAACCAGGACAUGGAGACAUUAGACUUGGCGCUGCUAAGUGUCCUCCGUUACACCAAGGACGGGAAAACGAUGAAGGGAGAUACCAAUGACACACCUCCGUCAAUGUAUCUCCUCAAUCACUUAUGCAGCUACAGAGGGUGGGCGCUGGCCAAUGACAAGAAGAACGCGAAAGGAUCCCUUUGCAUUGGAGGAGUGGUCACACCAAUCCUCCUAUCGUGCGACGUCCCACUGCGACCGGAUCCAAUCCAACCACGUUGGAUGGAUAUCGCCCAUCUCAAGCUUGCCCAUGUGAUCGAGCAUAAGGUCUAUGAUGGGAGGUACGCUUUCAAGUUUGAUCACCCGUCAACAGGCGAAGCAACUAUUCUUCUCCCAUUCAGUGAAAUGACAACCAUCACGGUGAGAGACAACAUCGACUUCUCGCCACCACAAGAAAUCCUCCAUGCUGUGAUUGGAGGAUCCGCGUCCCGAAAUGUUGAAGAAGUAGAAGGUCAGAGUGACAAUGAGGAGACCAACUGGGAGAACUAUGACACGAGCCGCUACCACUUUGAAGAACACAAGCCCCCUUCACAAGAAAGCAAGAGUCUCGCUGAAGCACACCGGAAGCUCAGUCUAACCCAAAGGUGGUGCAAGUUUCAAAACAAGAUCAUCCAUAAGUGUGUCAAGGCCAUUGACAACAUGGAGAAGGCAAUCAGUUGCACCACAUCCACCUGUGUGAUCACCAGAGACAAUCCGCCAGAAGAUAUGCCAUCCAGGCGUCAUGAUAUUGCCUCGCCAAGGCAAUCUGCUUAUCAACAGAGAGAACGCAUUGUCCCGCAAGAACCCGCACGACACUCGUGUCACGAGGUCAGGGAGCACAAGAGGCGGAAUAGCGCUAGGAUGGUCCGAUCAUCAAGCAAGAGUCGGAUAAUGUCGGGUUGGAGAACACAUGAGCGUCGUGCUCCACAACCUGCUGGGGUUGCGAUCGAGCACAAUGACGAGGUGAUGGCGGAGCCACAACAAGAACUGGUCAUGCCUGCUGAGCACACUCAAGCAGAUCUGGAUGACUACAUCUUCAGGAUAUUCUACUGAGGUAACACACCAAAACCCUUUGUAAAUACCGCUUUUGUUUUUGUUUCUGUGUUUAUCUUGACUUCUUUCACAAAUUUUGAUUACACAAGGGACUGUGUAAUUUAACUUUGGGGGAGGGUUCAAGACGUAUUUGACUUGUUUUUUGUGUAUAUCAUUUGAGUCUGCAUAUCAUCUAAGUCAUAGAAAAAAACAAAAAUAUUUGAAAUUUUUUGAAAAUGAAUUCCACAAAAACAGAGUGAUCAUUUAGUUGCAUUACAUUUAGAAUCGAGUCUAGAGUGUUUCAUAUAGGAUUGUUGCAUAUGCAUAGGGGAUAAUGAGGAAAUAGCCUUGUAAGCAUGAUGAUUCACUAAAAUGAGUUAUUAGUUCUCUGAGGCAUUUGAAUGACUUUGAAGUAAAACCGCACCAUGUUCUAUAGAAACCACUCGAUGCAUGUCAUGACACCUUUUCCUGUCAAUUUGAACUUGAAUCUGACUUAUAAUUAUCAUGUUUGCAUCGUUUUUGAACUUGUGGAUAGAAUACAUAUUUGGAUUUUCUUUCACUUAUUCACCACUCUUGUUAAUCCAAGUAGCUGCUUCUAUUCUUGGAGUAGUUCCCCCACCCUUAACCAACCCUUCUUUCAAGUCAUGUUAUUUUGUGAGAGCAUGUGAGGCCUAUUUUCAGGAUUGAGCUUGGUAGAACGUGUUAGGUUUGAGCCGAGAAGAGUAGUAUCUCAUGUAGUUCCAAUCUGCG
rnacentral:sRNA from 1 species